GAUGAACGCUGGCGGCGUGCCUAAUACAUGCAAGUCGAGCGAACGGACGAGAAGCUUGCUUCUCUGAUGUUAGCGGCGGACGGGUGAGUAACACGUGGAUAACCUACCUAUAAGACUGGGAUAACUUCGGGAAACCGGAGCUAAUACCGGAUAAUAUUUUGAACCGCAUGGUUCAAAAGUGAAAGACGGUCUUGCUGUCACUUAUAGAUGGAUCCGCGCUGCAUUAGCUAGUUGGUAAGGUAACGGCUUACCAAGGCAACGAUGCAUAGCCGACCUGAGAGGGUGAUCGGCCACACUGGAACUGGGACACGGUCCAGACUCCUACGGGAGGCAACAGUAGGGAAUCUUCCGCAAUGGGCGAAAGCCUGACGGAGCAACGCCGCGUGAGUGAUGAAGGUCUUCGGAUCGUAAAACUCUGUUAUUAGGGAAGAACAUAUGUGUAAGUAACUGUGCACAUCUUGACGGUACCUAAUCAGAAAGCCACGGCUAACUACGUG
rnacentral:rRNA from 1 species